UACGUAGGGUGCGAGCGUUAAUCGGAAUUACUGGGCGUAAAGCGUGCGCAGGCGGUUUUGUAAGCCGGAUGUGAAAUCCCCGGGCUUAACCUGGGAAUGGCAUUCGGGACUGCAAGGCUGGAGUGCGGCAGAGGAGACUGGAAUUCCUGGUGUAGCAGUGAAAUGCGUAGAUAUCAGGAGGAACACCGAUGGCGAAGGCAGGUCUCUGAGCUGACACUGACGCUCAUGCACGAAAGCGUGGGGAGCAAACAGG
rnacentral:rRNA from 1 species